CUCCUGUUCUGCUUCUACCACCAUCUUUGCUGUUCCAAAAGUACCCCAAAAGCUUUAAAUUCAGGAUUAUUGCUCCUAUAACAUCUCUGCUCGAACUAUCUGUUCUUAUGCUUUUAUUUCCUGAUUCUUUUGCAGAAAGCACAUGAGCUGUACCACAAGAACAUCAACUGCAUGCUAAGAGCAGUGACAGCCUUGGUUUUAAAGAAGUGGUGGUCAAAGAAAUGCCCUAGAUAAGUCCACCCACAUCCUUUUUACUGACACAUACAUACUAAAAUAAACAUUACCACAAAAACAUAUAAUGGCGAUUGUAAUCCGAAUUAAUACUCUUUAUGGUUCCAAAUUUUCCAAACACUAUUCCUUUAUCAGUUAUUGUCUGCAAAGCUUCAGUUUGUCAGUGUACAUUUAAAAGAAUGCAAGCACGUGUUUACUGGAUGCUCGCACUGAAGAUGGGCAUGGUUUCAGCAUACAAUUUUACCACAUCACAAGCCUUGAGAAAAAACAUUUUCUUCCACAGAAAGUUUCAGUUACUGAGGCAUGUCUUCAUUGAGGGAAAGAAACACGAAGCUCUUCAUCUCACUGUUUAAGACCCAAACCCAGGAAAAGCAACAUGCUUGUAAACAAAAUGCAUGCUUUUGGAGUUAGGACUUUCUGUGUAAAACACACACAGACACAGACACACACAUUCAGGGGAGGUUCAGGACACCAUUAAUAAUUACGGUUAAUAUGAUCUCACUUAAACUUGAGAGGGGACGUGUAAGUCAGCUCUUCACAGCUCUUGCAAGUGCAUGACGCAGAGAGAGAGAAAGAGGGAGAGAGAGAGUGUGAGAGAGAGGACAUAAAGUGUAUGUGUGUGUGCGUGUUGUAUAAUGCAGCUGCUGCGUGAUGAUCAACAUCCACAAGCUUCUUUACCUCGCUAACUGUGGGAGCAGGCGUAAAUAGAUGGCCUCUUCAUUAGCUGAGCUGGAGAUGCUGACCAUCAUGUUUUCUCUCCUGGUUUUUGCCCUCUUCACACUUGGAGGGAUGCUCAGUGAGGAAUGUGGACAGUCAAAUGAGACUAACACAAAACCACAAAAUGAUGUGCUGACUGUCUGACUUUGAUGAGGGUUAUGAUUCAGAUACAGAAGAUUCACAAGGGAAAAGCAGCCCUCUGAGCAUGU